AUGACCAUCUGGACCAGGGUCAGUGAGCACAGGGCAGCUGGGUCAACACUGGAGGCCUUUCAGUAGCCUGGUCAUGAGGCUAAGCUGAGCCCUUGCAGAGCUACAGACAACACCUGAUUCAUGGAAAGGCCUUUUUCUCUGUGGUGUUAGUAUUUAUGCAAAUUUCCUCCUCUCUGGGACUCCAACCACUUAUGAACUCAGACCAGGUGACUAGGGAGAAAGAAAGGAUCCCACAGCUUCUUCAGCAGCCCUCAGGUGUUGACCCAAAGAAGACACAGAGUCUUCUCUCAGAGCUUUCCAUCUUGGGGGUGAGACCCAAUAAUAGACACACUGGUGUGCAGACCAGGUGGGAGACUAGACUUCUUUCUAUGUGUACAUUGUCACCUACAUAUAAUUGGAAUUCAGAAGCUUGUUUUUGUCAGGUCCCUGGCAGCCAGGCUUGACCAUGUGGCCCAGUGUGGACCAUGGAUGUAAGGUAAUGGGUGGAUAUUCUCAUGAAGCUUGCUGUCAUGAAGGAAGAAAGUAGAUGGGAUUCAGCAGCACCUUUCCUGAGGAACAUGGGGUAGGAGCUGGAGCUGAACCUUCCUGGGGGUGCAUCAUCAAUACGAAUGGAAGCAAAACCAACAUUGUGGGGUAAAGGGGAGGGAACACUGGCAAGACUGUGGGUGCUCAGGGGAUUGGUGAUCCCCUAAGAAAAACAACCUUCUUACCUCAGACUUCUUUUUGUGAGGAAAGUAAGCUCCACUCUUCACGUCUCUGCUAUUC